UACGUAGGGCGCAAGCGUUGUCCGGAAUUAUUGGGCGUAAAGAGCUCGUAGGCGGUUUGUCGCGUCUGUCGUGAAAGCUUGGGGCUUAACCCCAAGUCUGCGGUGGAUACGGGCAGACUAGAGGCAGGUAGGGGAGAACGGAAUUCCCGGUGGUAGCGGUGAAAUGCGCAGAUAUCGGGAGGAACACCGGUGGCGAAGGCGGUUCUCUGGGCCUGUACUGACGCUGAGGAGCGAAAGCGUGGGGAGCGAACAGG
rnacentral:rRNA from 1 species